rnacentral:rRNA from 1 species
GAGGAAUAUUGGUCAAUGGACGGAAGUCUGAACCAGCCAAGUAGCGUGCAGGAUGACGGCCCUAUGGGUUGUAAACUGCUUUUGUAUGGGGAUAAAGUUAGGGACGUGUCCCUAUUUGCAGGUACCAUACGAAUAAGGACCGGCUAAUUCCGUGCCAGCAGCCGCGGUAAUACGGAAGGUCCAGGCGUUAUCCGGAUUUAUUGGGUUUAAAGGGAGCGUAGGCUGGAGAUUAAGUGUGUUGUGAAAUGUAGACGCUCAACGUCUGAAUUGCAGCGCAUACUGGUUUCCUUGAGUACGCACAACGUUGGCGGAAUUCGUCGUGUAGCGGUGAAAUGCUUAGAUAUGACGAAGAACUCCGAUUGCGAAGGCAGCUGACGGGAGCGCAACUGACGCUUAAGCUCGAAGGUGCGGGUAUCAAACAGGAUUAGAUACCCUGGUAGUCCGCACAGUAAACGAUGGAUGCCCGCUGUUGGUACCUGGUAUCAGCGGCUAAGCGAAAGCAUUAAGCAUCCCACCUGGGGAGUACGCCGGCAACGGUG